rnacentral:lncRNA from 1 species
GCCCAUCUAUGGGGCAGGGAUGGGAACAGAGACGCGCUGUGCCCAUCUAUGGGGCAGGGGCAGGGACAGGGAGGUGCUGUACCCACUCUAUGGGGCAGGGAUGGGGACAGUGACGCAGUAUGUCCACUUAUGGGUCAGGGACAGGGACACAGUGUGCCCAUCUGUGGGGCAGGGACAGGGACAGGGAUGCGCUGUGCCCAUCUAUGGGGCAGGGACGGGGACAGAGAGGUGCUGUGCCCACUCUAUGGGGCAGGGAUGGGGACAGUGACGCACUAUGCCCACCUAUGGGGCAGGGACAGGGACGCAAUGUGCUCAUCUGUGGGGCAGGGAUGGGGACAGGGAGAUGCUGUGCCCACCUAUGGGGCAGGGACAGGGUCAGGGACGCAAUGUGCCCAUCUAUGGGGCAGGGACGGGGACAGGGAGGUGCUGUACCCACCUAUGGGGCAGGGACAGGGUCAGGGAUGCAAUGUGCCCAUCUAUGGGGCAGGAACGGGGACAGGGAGGUGCUGUACCCACUCUAUGGGGCAGGGAUGGGGACAGUGACGCACUAUGCCCACCUAUGGGGACAGGGACACAGUAUGCCCAUCUGUGGGGCAGGGACAGGGACACAAUGUGCCCAUCUAUGGGGCAGGGAUGGGGACAGAAAGGUGCUGUGCCCAUCUAUGGGGCAGGGACAGGGACACAGUGUGCCCAUCUAUGGGGCAGGGACGGGGACAGGGACACAGUGUGCCCACCUAUGGGGUAGGGAUGGGGACAGAGACGCACUGUGCCCAAUCUAUGGGGCAGGGAUGGGGACAGGGAGAUGCUGUGCCCAUUUAUGGGGCAGGAAUAGGGACGCACUGUGCUCACUCUAUGGGGCAGGGACAGGGACGGGGACACGCUGUGCCCAUCUAUGGGGCAGGGACAGGGUGCUGACGCGCUGUGUCCCCCCUGUGGGUCAGGAACGGGGACGCGGAGCUGUUCGUUAACACCAACCGGGCGCCCGCCAGCGGGGACAGCGAGGACGACGACAGCGGGGACACGGAGGACGAGGACAGCGGGGACAGCGGGGACACGGAGGACGGGGACAGCGGGGACACAGAAGAAGGGGACAGCGGGGACACGGAGGACGGGGACAGAGGGGACCCGGGGGGGGCCGACGCCGGCCAUGGCAGCGGGGACGCGGCGCUGCCCCGCUCCCAGUCGGGGACGUAGGGACGCGCGGUGCCCGCAAUAAAGGGCUCACGUCCGCCCCCGCCGCCCCA